CGCACCGGCCGGACGGUCGCGAACGGAGGCCGAUAAGGGCUUCGUCCGAGGAAAGUCCGGGCUCCACAGGGCAGGCCGCCAGGUAACGCCUGGGCACGCCGGCGACGGCGUGACGGAAAGUGCCACAGAAAACACACCGCCGAUGGCCCGAGGGUAACCGAGGGAUCAGGCAAGGGUGAAAAGGUGCGGUAAGAGCGCACCGCGCGCCUGGCAACAGGCAUGGCAGGGUAAACCACGGCUGGAGCAAGGCCAAAUAAGCGGCGAGGGACGGCCCGUCCCGACCAAGACGCCGCGGGUAGGCUGCUGGAGCGCGCGGGCGACCGCGCGCCUAGAGAAAUGAUCGUCCGGGCGAUUCGUCGUCCGACAGAACCCGGCUUACAGGCCGGCGCGUGGC
rnacentral:RNase_P_RNA from 1 species